rnacentral:snRNA from 1 species
UUUGUAUAUAAAUAUUAAA